CCAAUAGCGUAUAUUAAAGUUGUUGCAGUUAAAAAGCUCGUAGUUGAAUUUCGGGAUCAGUACGCUGGUCGUGCCUUCGGUAUGUACUGGUGUUACUGGUUCCUACCUUCUGACGAACCGUCAUGUCAUUAAUUUGGUGUGGCGGGGAAUCAGGACUGUUACUUUGAAAAAAUUAGAGUGUUUAAAGCAGGCUCGCGCUUGAAUACAUUAGCAUGGAAUAAUGAAAUAGGACGUUCGACCCUAUUUUGUUGGUUUCUAGGAUUGACGUAAUGAUUAAUAGGGAUAGUUGGGGGCAUUAGUAUUCAAUUGUCAGAGGUGAAAUUCUUGGAUUUAUUGAAGACUAACUACUGCGAAAGCAUUUGCCAAGGAUGUUUUCAUUAAUCAAGAACGAAAGUUAGGGGAUCGAAGACGAUCAGAUACCGUCGUAGUCUUAACCAUAAACUAUGCCGACUAGGGAUCGGAUGAUGUCAAUUUUUUAAUGACUCAUUCGGCGCCUUACG
rnacentral:rRNA from 1 species